rnacentral:tRNA from 1 species
GUCUGGCUGGCUCAGUCAGUGGAGCAUGUGACUCCUGAUCUUGAGGUCAUAAGUUCAAGCCCUAUGCUGGGUG